rnacentral:rRNA from 1 species
UACAGAGACUGCAAGCGUUAUUCGGAUUCACUGGGCGUAAAGGGUGCGCAGGCGGCCGAGUGUGUGAGGCGUGAAAGCCCGGGGCUAACCCCGGAAUUGCACCUCAAACUACACGGCUAGAGCAUUGGAGAGGGUAGCAGAAUUCAUGGUGUAGCAGUGAAAUGCGUAGAUAUCAUGAGGAAUACCAGAGGCGAAGGCGGCUACCUGGACAAUUGCUGACGCUCAGGCACGAAGGCUAGGGGAGCAAACGGG